UACGAAGGGGGCUAGCGUUCCUCGGAUUGACUGGGCGUAAAGGGCGCGUAGGCGGUCUGUCCAGUCAGGCGUGAAAUUCCUGGGCUCAACCUGGGGGCUGCGUUUGAUACGUGCAGACUAGAGUGCGGAAGAGGGUCGUGGAAUUCCCAGUGUAGAGGUGAAAUUCGUAGAUAUUGGGAAGAACACCGGUGGCGAAGGCGGCGACCUGGUCCGAUACUGACGCUGAGGCGCGAAAGCGUGGGGAGCAAACAGG
rnacentral:rRNA from 1 species